AGCACGGAGAAUUUUGGAUUCUCAGGUGUAGGUUCAAUUCCUAUUGUUCUAG
rnacentral:tRNA from 1 species